GACGAACGCUGGCGGCGUGCUUAACACAUGCAAGUCGAACGGAAAGGCCCUGCUUUUGUGGGGUGCUCGAGUGGCGAACGGGUGAGUAACACGUGAGUAACCUGCCCUUGACUUUGGGAUAACUUCAGGAAACUGGGGCUAAUACCGGAUAGGAGCUCCUGCUGCAUGGUGGGGGUUGGAAAGUUUCGGCGGUUGGGGAUGGACUCGCGGCUUAUCAGCUUGUUGGUGGGGUAGUGGCUUACCAAGGCUUUGACGGGUAGCCGGCCUGAGAGGGUGACCGGCCACAUUGGGACUGAGAUACGGCCCAGACUCCUACGGGAGGCAGCAGUGGGGAAUAUUGCACAAUGGGCGGAAGCCUGAUGCAGCAACGCCGCGUGCGGGAUGACGGCCUUCGGGUUGUAAACCGCUUUCGCCUGUGACGAAGCGUGAGUGACGGUAAUGGGUAAAGAAGCACCGGCUAACUACGUGCCAGCAGCCGCGGUGAUACGUAGGGUGCGAGCGUUGUCCGGAUUUAUUGGGCGUAAAGGGCUCGUAGGUGGUUGAUCGCGUCGGAAGUGUAAUCUUGGGGCUUAACCCUGAGCGUGCUUUCGAUACGGGUUGACUUGAGGAAGAUAGGGGAGAAUGGAAUUCCUGGUGGAGCGGUGGAAUGCGCAGAUAUCCGGAGGAACACCAGUGGCGAAGGCGGUUCUCUGGGCCUUUCCUGACGUUGAGGAGCGAAAGCGUGGGGAGCGAACAGGCUUAGAUACCCUGGUAGUCCACGCUGUAAACGGUGGGUACUAGGUGUGGGGUCCAUUCCACGGGUUCCGUGCCGUAGCUAACGCUUUAAGUACCCCGCCUGGGGAGUACGGCCGCAAGGCUAAAACUCAAAGGAAUUGACGGGGCCCCGCACAAGCGGCGGAGCAUGCGGAUUAAUUCGAUGCAACGCGUAGAACCUUACCUGGGUUUGACAUGGAUCGGGAGUGCUCAGAGAUGGGUGUGCCUCUUUUGGGGUCGGUUCACAGGUGGUGCAUGCCUGUCGUCAGCUCGUGUCGUGAGAUGUUGGGUUAAGUCCCGCAACGAGCGCAACCCUUGUUCACUGUUGCCAGCACGUUAUGGUGGGGACUCAGUGGAGACCGCCGGGGUCAACUCGGAGGAAGGUGGGGAUGACGUCAAGUCAUCAUGCCCCUUAUGUCCAGGGCUUCACGCAUGCUACAAUGGCUGGUACAGAGAGUGGCGAGCCUGUGAGGGUGAGCGAAUCUCGGAAAGCCGGUCUCAGUUCGGAUUGGGGUCUGCAACUCGACCUCAUGAAGUCGGAGUCGCUAGUAAUCGCAGAUCAGCAACGCUGCGGUGAAUACGUUCCCGGG
rnacentral:rRNA from 1 species